AUAAUCACAGCCACUAUCAGAGGACUGCUUCUUACAACAUCCAGAGUAAGGAGGGAGCCAGCCCUCUGUGGCUCACCAGUUCUCCAAGGAGCAACAGGAACCAGACCACAGCUUGGGCACCUCAGCAGGCUCUUCUGAAAGGAGCAUCAGACAGAGUAUUAAAGAAGGGUGUGUUCUCACAGCUGCCCAGCACUAUCAACACUAACCAGCAAGAUGAUCUGGAUUUCUGCAGCCUUGUGCCAGAUGGCCCCUGACUCCAGUCUUCAUUGCAGCUAAGGAAGGUGAGACAGAUUCUCACAGAGUGACUAUCCCUGUGUCAUCCUGUACAUCAAUGUCAGAGCAGAGAUGAGAAGUCAGAAGUUGGUGACUGCAAGCCCUGAGCUCAUGGCAUGGGUCCUAAGAAACAAACCCCUUAUGAGAGGCUGCUGGAAAAAUGAGGAAGCCCUGGCUAAGGGCCAACAUGGCAUGAACACAGAAGAAAUUAAGCAGAAAGUGGCAAAAGAGUCAGGAGCUGCUGGCUGGCUCUGGAUGAAGUGCAGGUCCAGCAGCAUUGGGCUGAAGAUUUGCCCUUUCCCCUUGC